ACAGUCUGCUAUAAAGACUUGAUAUCAUGCUGUCAGCUGCAGCAGAAGAAGAGAAGAUCCCAUCAGAUCACCUUCAGUACCAACCAUGUUCUCUGUAGCUCUGCUGCUGCUGCUGGCAGCUGGAUCCUGUGUGAAGUGUGAACAGUUGACACAGCCAGCCUCUGUGACUGUGCAGCCAGGUCAACGUCUGACCAUCACCUGUCAGGUCUCUUAUUCUGUUAGUGGCUACUGGACAGCUUGGAUCAGACAGCCUGCAGGGAAAGGACUGGAGUGGAUUGGA